rnacentral:hammerhead_ribozyme from 1 species
AUCCAGCCGACGAGUCCCAAGUAGGACGAAAUGUGCAUCCUGGAU